GCCAGACUCCUACGGGAGGCAGCAGUGAGGAAUAUUGGUCAAUGGACGAAAGUCUGAACCAGCCAUGCCGCGUGCAGGAUGACGGCUCUAUGAGUUGUAAACUGCUUUUGUAUUAGGGUAAACACCCCUACGUGUAGGGGCUUGAAAGUAUAAUACGAAUAAGGAUCGGCUAACUCCGUGCCAGCAGCCGCGGUAAUACGGAGGGUGCGAGCGUUAAUCGGAAUUACUGGGCGUAAAGCGCUCGUAGGCGGUAUGUCAAGUCAAGGGUGAAAUCCCCGCGCUCAACGUGGGAACUGCCUUUGAAACUGGCAAACUGGAGUGUGUGAGAGGAUAGUGGAAUUCCAGGUGUAGGAGUGAAAUCCGUAGAUAUCUGGAGGAACAUCAGUGGCGAAGGCGACUAUCUGGCACAUAACUGACGCUGAGGAGCGAAAGCGUGGGUAGCAAACAGGAUUAGAUACCCCGGUAA
rnacentral:rRNA from 1 species